ACUAUUUUGAGUUCUCUUUUUAUGCUCCCUCCUAGGCUUGAGCAAGUUGGUGAAGUGUUAAAAAGCUGAUAGCAGGGAUCUCAAAGAGAUGAAGAAUUAGUCUGGAUUCACAGAUCGAACUGCCAACCUCUGGCUGACUGAGAGCUGGUUGGAUUUGCAAGCUUGGUUUUCUAAGGAAAUACCUCUUACGAUAUUGUCCAAAGUCUCUCCCGGUUCACUUGUUUCAGCUCUGAUGGGCGGCAUGCAAGAAAAAAGGAGAAUCUAUUACAAUCCAAACAUCAGCCCCCAAAUCUGAAAUUUAGGACUGUUCUUUAUGGAGAUUGAGACUGCAUUGUUCCUCUCAACACCAGCUGAGAAUCUCCACACUGAAGAACAGCCCAGGAGCCCAUCUGGCUUGCAAGAAUUCUUCCUUCUUAGAUGCCAGAGGCAGCAGUUGUGAUUCCUAACAUGGGCAUGGCUUUACUGUGGCAUUCUAUCACCAGUGAGAUUGAUGGCAUGAGGUAUUUCUGCAAGCGCGUGCAAGCUCAUGCGUCAUCCAGGGAUCCCGGGAUGCCUGUUUCUGCACAAUCUGCCUGUCAUCUCUUAUGGGACCUUCACACAUCAGUGGCACCGAUUAUCUCACGUCACAGCCCAUCAGUUGGCUGAACUCCAGAAGAAUGUGAAAUUGUCUAACAAGCCUCCAAAUGUGAAUGGCUCCAUGUUGGCCUAAUCACACAUAAUGUUCGCCUUUGUCAUCCGUUCCCAAAGAGUGGCUGCAGUGCUCAUCUGUUAGACAAAUACAAUUUCUAGAGCUCUUCGCCAUGCCUGUUGUAAGGGUUUUUUUUUUUUUUUUUUUUUAAUCCCCAUUCCCUUCUUCCGGGGGUGAAUUCCAUUCAUUCUUCUGACUACACUCUGCUGUGCCCUUCUUCCCAUCCUAUAAUCAUGACUUCUUUCCAUGGCCUCAUUCCUUAAAAUUGAUCUAGGUAAUUGCCAAAAUUGUUUUAAGCACAGGCUUUUAACUGUGUUUGGAGCAACAAAGCAUACUGAGACACGAACAUCAACAUGGAAUAAUUCAUAUGUCCACGUAUAUAUAUGUCCAAUAAAUGUUGCCA
rnacentral:lncRNA from 1 species